rnacentral:rRNA from 1 species
UACGGAGGGUGCGAGCGUUAAUCGGAAUUACUGGGCGUAAAGGGUGCGUAGGUGGUUGAAUAAGUUAUCUGUGAAAUUCCAGGGCUCAACCUUGGGGCUGCGUUCGAGACGGGUAUUCUAGAGUGGGGAAGAGGGUCGUGGAAUUCCCAGUGUAGAGGUGAAAUUCGUAGAUAUUGGGAAGAACACCGGUGGCGAAGGCGGCGACCUGGUCCUUUUACUGACGCUGAGGCGCGAAAGCGUGGGGAGCAAACAGG